GCUGGAUGCAGGACGCCUGGGUUCUUUCCGGGGGGCGCAGGACGCCUGGGUUCUCUCUUGGCGGGGUUGUUGGGGGGGCUGGGCGCACUCAGUGACCCUCUGCUGUUUCUCCAGGCCUGGCUCCGUCCAACACCUUCGUGGCCCCGCAGCCCGUGGUGGGGCCCAGCCCAGCCAAGCUGCAGGCAGCCGCCACCCUGGCCGAGGUGGCCAACGGCAUUGAGUCCGCCCCCAUGAAGCCGGACCCCUCGGUGCAGCCCCAGAAGCUGCUGGUGAAGAAG